rnacentral:misc_RNA from 1 species
AGGGUUGGAAUAUUUACAUGAAAACUGCACACCUAAAAUUUUUCACCGUGAUAUUAAGGCCGACAAUAUACUUAUUGAUGAUAAGUACGAGCCGAAGGUCGCAGAUUUUGGACUUGCCUUUCUUUUUCCGGAAACCGGUAGCCUUACUCACAUCACUAAAUCAAAUAAGGGAACUGAAGUAUAGUUCGAGCACUUGAAGGAUACAUGCGUCUAGAAGGAAUAUGGAAUGAGAAGAAUGACAGCAUGUUCCUGAAAAAUAACCCGACGCCUAAUGUAUCUCAUAGAGUUGAGCCUAAUGGAUCUGAUAAUGAGCCCUACAGAUCUCAGAAACAGAAGUCUUUUGUCAGUUCAGAAGCUAAUUAUAAUGGCAUUGAACCGAGGGAAUUUACACUUCGAGAACACACAAUGGCAACUUAUGAUUCCUCGGAGACCACUAAUGGCACUGAGAGGUUUCAAGAUUAUUAGCAGGGGAGAACUAAUUUUCAAGAAGAUUAUCAGCUGAGAAGAUUUACUUAUCAAGAACUAACAACGGCAACUGGAGGUUUCUCUGAGGACAACCGUCUUGACGAGGGUCCUUUGGGUCAAGUCUUUAAAGGAGACCUCAAUGGUAAAAUGGUGACAGUUAAGAAGUUCAAUAAUUCUAGGAAGCAAGAAGAAGAAUACACAAAGAUGAAAGCUAUUAACCUUAUUGGAUACUGCGAAGAAGGAGUUAAUAGACUGCUCGUUUAUGAGUUUGUUCCGCAGGACAAAUCCUUGAGAUAUUAUUUAUUUGGAGAUGAGAGAUCACAUUUGGACUGGACAACUGGAGUUCGAAUCAGCCAAGCUGCGGCGACACUAAUUUAUAUCUGGAUAUUCCAGAUAAUUGCAGUUGGAGGGAUAGAUCAUCGAAUUGGAUGGACGACUUUCUUCUUGAUGAUGAUUUUCCAAAGGUUGCAGAGGAUGGACGUGAAAUGCUUUAUUCAGAUUUCCCUACUCGUAACUCCGCUAGUUGUAUGUCUCCUGAAUGCUAGUAAUAGGAAGCUCACCGAGAAGACCAAUGCUUAUUCCUGUAGAGUAAUGCAUAUGGACAUGAUGACUGGGAGAAAUCUGGUUGAUGAUAUCAGCUUUGAUGCUCAAACUAAUAUCUGGUUGAUGAUAUCAGCUUUGAUGCUCAAACUAAUAUAGUUUAUGGAUACGUACUUGUUGCUCAAUUAAUAUAGUCCGUAGAUAUUGUUGUACAUUUGUAAAGUGUAGGCAAAAAAUUUUGAAAAUUGAAGCUUAAUUAUUUGGGGAAAAAAUUGAGCCAGUUAGAUUCCAUUUGUUUUAUAAAAAAU